rnacentral:rRNA from 1 species
UACGUAGGGUGCAGGCGUUAAUCGGAAUUACUGGGCGUAAAGCGUGCGCAGGCGGUUUGCUAAGUCAGGUGUGAAAUCCCCGGGCUUAACCUGGGAACUGCGCUUGUUACUGGCAAGCUGGAGUGUGGCAGAGGGGGGUGGAAUUCCACGUGUAGCAGUGAAAUGCGUAGAGAUGUGGAGGAACACCGAUGGCGAAGGCAGCCCCCUGGGCUAACACUGACGCUCAUGCACGAAAGCGUGGGGAGCAAACAGG